AUCGAAAGCGAGAAGAGUAUUGGAUUAAAAGCUCAAAGAGACGACAUAAAAUUUAUGAUCUUGGAUAUGUUUAUUGGAGGGACGUCAACAAGUUCAACUCUACUAGAAUGGAUAA